rnacentral:SRP_RNA from 1 species
GCUGGGUGUGGUGGUGCACACCUGUAAUCCCAGCUACUCAGGAGGCUGAGACAGGAGAAUCGCUUGAACCCGGGAGGCAGAGGUUGCAGUGAGCUGAGAUUGUACCACUGCACUCCAGCCUGGGUGACAGAGCAAGACCCUGUCUCUU